rnacentral:rRNA from 1 species
GACGAACGCUGGCGGCGUGCUUAACACAUGCAAGUCGAACGGUGAUGCUCCAGCUUGCUGGAGUGGAUCAGUGGCGAACGGGUGAGUAACACGUGAGCAACCUGCCCCAGACCCUGGAAUAAGCGCUGUAAACGGCGUCUAAUACUGGAUACGAAACUGGCCCGCAUGGGCAUGGUUUGGAAAGUUUUUCGGUUUGGGAUGGGCUCGCGGACUAUCAGCUUGUUGGUGAGGUAAUGGCUCACCAAGGCGCCGACGGGUAGCCGGCCUGAGAGGGCGACCGGCCACACUGGGACUGAGACACGGCCUAGACUCCUACGAGAGGCAGCAGUGGGCAAUAGUGCACAAUGGGCGAUAGCCUGAUGCAGCAACGCCGCGUGAGGGAUAACGGCCUUCGGAUUGUAAACCGCUAUCAGCAGGAAAGAAGAGAAAGUGACGGUACCUGCAGAAGAAGCAACCGCUAACUACGUG